CAGGUUAAGAACCACUGGUCUAUAAUUAUCAGAUCUGCCAAUGUUUCCUUUGUUUUUAAUCACAGGAGAUAGAAUAACAUUCAUCAAGGUAUCGGGAAUAAAACAAUGCAUAAUAAAACCAGUGAAACAUAAAUCAAGAAGAGGGGCUACCCUUGAACUUGCAAAUGUGAGAUGUUCAGCUGAAAUAAGAUCCAUUCCUAUAGAUUUAUUUACAGACAGUUCUUUAAUUUCUUGAUAGACCUUGUGAAUUUUGAUAGUUUCUACAGUACUAACCUUGUCAACCUGGAAGGGUUCACUCUGAACAAAGGUAAAUAAACGUGCUGUAGUGGUGUUGCCAAAAAUCUACAAUCAUAUUCGCCCCAGAAGCGCCAUCGACAAUGCGAGGGAGAGGGGAUUUACUAUUAUUGAUAGUUUUUACCUCUUGCUAAAAGACUUUUGUAUGCUUGCCUAUAAGCUUUUUUGCCAAGGAAUCAGCCCUCAUGGUUUGAGAGAAAUGCCGUUGCAUCUGAGGAGCAGGGGUAUUGCUCCUCAGAUUAUAGGUGAUUUUUGUGGAUUAACUUGUAUAAUGGAAAAGAACAAUAGGGAUUCCUUUGAAUGAUUUCUCAAACAUUGAACACACGUCACUGCAGCCAGACCAUUUCACAAACCUAUAUAGUAUUCUGUGGCAUCCUGAGAAUGAGAGUUAGGAGUUUUAGAAUAUUAAACUGGUUAAUUCUUUUGUAGUAAAAUAUACAAUGAUGCUCUAAAAUCUUCUUAAAUCACUGAUUAUGAACAUUACUCGUUCUUUGAUUAUAAAGUAUUCCCCACUGAUUAAUUUCUGAUAACAGUCAAAUAUUUUUUUUUAUCAUUAUUAUUAUUAUGGGGUUACCAAUGGAUUUUAGAACAAUUUGCACUUUGUAUUGUUCCGUUCUGUGGGUUGGGUUGUUGUGUUGUACAUUGUGAGAGUAACAUUAUCCUAUUGGAAUGUGUUUCAGGUUUAUGGAAAUCAGUUUCUACUGUACUUGCUGUCCUAUUUGGAGUUACUAUUAUUUCAGCUCUGUUCUUUCUGUACUGGUCCAAAAGAAACUGUUCAGGUAAGCCAAAUGGCAAUACUACUCCAAGCCCUCAGAAUCAAGUCUUCCUGGAUCAAACUGAAUAAUUGAUAUUUAUUGUAUUUCAUUCAUUGUUGAUCAUCGGAGGUAACACAGCAAAAAAAAAAAAAGUUUCUCCAGUACUGUGUACCACUUCUGUAGUGACUUUAUAAUAAUAUUCAGAAUGUUUUCUCACCCCAGAUUCAGUGGAGUCUCUUUCACCAAAUUGAUGCGCGUUAACAGAGUUGGAGAUUAGUGAAUAAUAUAAAAAAUAGUUAAGUAUUUGUUUGUUAUGGCUGUACAUUUGAACUAUUUCCAGUCAUUGCACAAAUUUGUGUAUUUUUAAACACAUUUUCAAAAAAAAUUAUUGAUGUUACAUAUAAAGUGAUCUCCUUUGAGUGUUAACAUGCAAUCAUACAUUUGAUGCUUUUAUUUUUCAUCUUUAAACUAUUUUGUUCAGCGACAUUUGUGUUUUUUUCAUAUUUUUUGGUUUUGUUUUAUUUUUCUGGAUUUAGCUAAAUCAACUAAGAGGUUUUGCUCGAAACCACCAGUACUGCCUUAACUUUCCACAAGUGCAGCAAGAUUUUUUUUUUAUUUCUUAUCAAGCUGAAGAAAUACUGCAUCAAAGGACUGAAACAACUGGCUGCACAGCUGAAUUACAUCUAAACUUGCUUAAAAUUAUCAAAGUAAAGUCAGUGUUUAAAUACAGAAAAUGAUAAAAGUAGUAACAGAUUUCUUAUUGUCUCACCAGUGAGAAUGUAUCCUCCAGAGAAUGAAAAUAUCUGGUUCAAAAUAUAAGCUUUCAUACAGCUAAUCUUCAAUUACCUGAACUUAAAAUUUGAGUAAACCCAUUGGACAAAAGUCACUAACAGACGCAUCUGCAUCUAACUAAUAUUACAUUAUGUGCACAACCAAAUAGAAACUUCAUUUUAAAUUUAUUAUGUGACUCAGGUUAAUAAGAGAACUGCUUAAUGAUAGAAAUGUUGAUCAUCUUGACCAUUUAUUUACUGUUACAUCUACUGUGUUUUUCUGUGUCUACAAAAAGUGUUUUCCUGUUAAAGAAGUUUCCAGACAAUGUGCAGACGCUUUUGCAGCUAUUUACAAAAAUAGGUGAACUGUAACAUCCUGUGUAAAAUGCCUCUCCUUGCAGUUGUCUUAAAGGAUUGCCGUAUAUGGAAUGUAUUGUAUUGUACACUUAACAUAAAGACCCCGUAAGUCCUAAAGCUAAAGAAGUAAAUUCAAAAUGUCUCUAAGUUUUCCAUCCAGGGAAUGGUAAAGACAAAGAUUCAACUUGGACAUUGUUGUACCUUUAUGACAACAAUACAGAAACAACAGACCAUCUCUUUUUCUAUUUUGUCACACUGGAACAUUUUGGGACUGGAUCUCAGCAAAGUUUUUCCCUUAAAAAGAGAGGAGGGGGUACUAUCCUCUAUUUUUGUUAUUUUUUUCUCUUUAAGACAUGCUUAAAAAAGAGGAUAUAAUAUUUGGAACCACCCUCAGACUGAAGAACAGAUCUUGUAUUUAACAGCCUGCUAAUCCUGGUCAAUUUUUUCAUCCACACAUGUAAAUGGGGAAAUGAAAAAUUUGACUUUUCAGCCUCUAAAACCUUAUAAUGUACAACCAGGUGAGAGCCUUUAAAAAUUAUGAAAAGCAAGCAUGGUGUACAGCUACUUGACGGCUAAAAAGAACUUAACUUUUUUGAUGAAAUCUAGUGCCCCUAUGUCUUUUGUUCUUUUUUUGUUUUUUCUUCCAUUUAUUUUAAUCUUAUGUUUUUAUGUGUGCCUUAAACAUGUUCCUCCUAAUGUACUUCUUAUGUACACAUGCGAUAUGGUUCUGUACAGUUAUUCAAAAUGUUUAAUAAACAAGUUAAAGGUUGGGGAUGGUGUGAAGGGAGAUGAGAAGGGGGAACAGUGGUGAUUGUUAUUUUGAUUUAACAAUUAAUCAAAAUAAUGAAUACCUGCAGCAUAAUGACUUUUUACUUAAUUUUUCUUUUAUUGGUGUUCUCCUCUCCAACAGUAAGUGUGAACUGCUUGUUAAUCUUGCAGCUCAAAAUGGGCAUUAACGUAGGAUAUUUCUAAUCUUCUUAUAAUUAUUAUUUUUAUUUUAUGUUGUUUAAAUGUUGAAGUGGAAAACAAAUGCCUAUCUUUUCUGCAUGUCUUAACUGUGUGUUUUAUAUUUUGAUUUCACAUUUUAGUUGAUCAUAUGUUACUUUUUAAAAUUUUUAGUUGGUAUAAAUUGCUUCUUUAAGAAUUGUUGUGAUGUUGAUUUAGGUUGCUGAGAAAAUAUAGGUGAUUGUACAUUGUUUUUGUUUAGCUGAUUUUUAGCUUUGGUGUUACAUUUUGUUUUUCUCUUGUUUCUUGAUUUUUUUUAUGUCUUCAAUCGUUCGUAUGAUACCUCCACCAUUUUCCUGGACAGACAUAUAGAGGGCUGCCUCUUUGGCACAGAGGGGUUGCAAGAUAACUUUUCCUACCUAAUACAGUGAUACUGUUACAGAGUGGAAUAGGGGAAGGCCGGUAGGUUUUUCAUAUCUUGCAUAUAUGUUUUUUUACAUCUUCCAGUUUAGUGUUUGAUGUUAUGUCUUUUAAUGGAGGGAAAUAUUGAUUAAUAUUAAAUAGUAACAUAUUUACUUAUAAUCAAAAGGGGGGAAAUGAAGUGGAAAAUCAGAAUAAGUUCACACCGGCUAGUUAUAUUGCUAUAUUUUAAUUCUAAGUUCCUGUCUACUCCCACCAAACUGAAGUUUUUUGGGUUACAUGUACAAGGUUAGGACUUGUGUUCCACAGUUGCAUGGGAACCAGACUGUCUCACCCUUUCAUUUUGGAUCCUUUAUCUUAGUAUAAAACUCAUGUGUGGUCUCCGCCCGGGGUGCUUUUUCAUCCAGAUCUUCUUCAUUAUUGAUUGUCCUACAAGCUCUCUGUAUUGUGCACAAUAUAUGAAUAAACCUGAUUGAGUGAUUUUACCUGA